GCCAGAAUAGCUCGUUUGGUUAGAGCGUGGUGCUGAUAAUGCCAAGGUUGCAGGUUCAAUCCCUGUAAGGAAUAACGGCA